UGUAAUCAAGGCAAGAGGUUAGAAUAGCACCCGGCCCACUGUAAGAGCUCAGUAAACAUUAGUUCAUUAGUAACCAGAAAUGUGAUGCAAGCCUACCAGUGUCUGGAGAAAGUAAUGUGGAGGAGGAGCGGGAGGCAGAGGCCACAGAAUGGAAGAGCGAGCAGAUGCGAGGAUCCAGGGGGGAUGGUUCCCAGGGCUCCACCUGUGUUAUCCAGAAAACAUCCACUAAUCAACACCAUACCAUUCUGUGAGCCAGAACAGCAUGUACCUGCACUCAGGUGGUACAGGGAGAGUUGUUCCAGCUGCAUAUUUUUCACUUGGAUCUGGUGACAUCAGUAUGAGUGUUGAGUCAGCUCAUAUGCCAUAAGCUCUUCUCUCCAAGACGGCGUGGGAGACAUCACCUCGUGGGUGGCAAAGCAGUUCUUGAAAGCCAGACGUGCGGAAAAGCACACGCAUCCCUUCUUGAGAAGCACUGGUGGACCAUUAUUACACAUUUACCUCUUAUUCCACAGAGAGCAUAUUCCUGGAUCCCCCCACAACUUCCAGGGCUGCCUGCUGCUGACCCUCAGUACAACCCCAAGAGGCCUCCUCUCACUUGGCCUCUUGCCCUUGGCUCUCCAGGGCUGGGACCUGUGUGAUUCCUGGCUCUACCGCGGUGAAUCUCUUUGAAAACUGCAGGUGCAGAGCUGUUCUCUGCAGUGAUUCUGAUGUCCCUGUGCUGGCAGUCUGGACGGGCAAGUACCAAGCUCUCUGGCUUCUUCCCUAGCAGGUAACAACCUGCUUAGAACUUCCUUCACAAUGUGGUUUAUGUAUACAAUGGAAUAUUCCUCAGCCAUUAGAAGCGAAAAAUACCCACCAUUUGCUUCGACGUGGAUGGAACUGGAGGGUAUUAUGCUGAGUGAAAUGAGUCAAUUGG